CACCCUCCUCUCCAGGCGCUCCCACCUAGGCAGGCGCGAGGCGGAAGCACACUGGCGGGUGAAGGACAGAAAGACAAAUGGAGAGCUCUCCAGCCAGCACACGCAUUAAACAAAUGACCGUAAAGCGACGGCUUGCAGAGGAUCCGCUCAAGGAACCGCCUUCUAAAAGUCGUGUCGUCAGCCUCAGCAGUGCAGGACGCCUUCCUGACCGGAGGGUGCUGUCCUUGAAGGAGGAACAGCUCAUUUUGGUCUUCCGAGCAUCCCUGGAGAUGGCCAGCGCAGGUGCGGCUGUCCCCACAGGGCCGUCUCUUUCCAUCGCCACACCACCACCUCCGAAGUGCAUCCUAGGGUCCCGAUUUUACAGGGGGAGAAACUGAGGCACACAAAAAAAGGAACUUAUUCUCUGGAAGUUGAGCAACGAAAGAAAUUAAAAAUUGAGGGCAGGGUUGUGCCAGUGCGGCAUCCCUGAUCCCACAAGUGCGCACACGUGCACGAGGGUGCGCGUAGAGCCUUUUAAAAAGACUGCAUCUCCACUCCUACCAAGCCCUCUUGAUUUUAAUUGCCCCUUGGGGCUCAAAUCUGCCCACUUCUCUCUACUACCGCCAUGCCCCCCCCGCCCGUCUCCUCCCCCCCCCCAGUCACCUGUCUCCCUCCCACGUCACUACUGCUGUACCUUAGUGCAGUUCCUGGCCCCAUCUGUUCCUUGUACAUUGUCCUCAGCAUAACCACCACCCAGCUGCUCCCUGCCUCCACCUUUUUAAAAAAAUGAUGGUCAAAAUAUGCAUAACAUAAAAUUUUCCCUUUUAAAGUGGGCCACUCAGCAGCCUUGAAUAUUGUCAUGCUGUUGUGCAACCAUCACCACCAGAACAUUUCCAUCACCCCACAGGGAAACGCAUUAACGGACACUUCCUGUUCUGCUGUCCCCCCAACCCUUGGCAACCACCAAUCUGCUUUCUGCCUCCCUGAAUGUGCCCGCCUGUUCUGGAUAUUUUAUAUAAACAAAAUCACCCCAAAUAUGAA